AUGGACGUGCCGUGGCUGCUGGUGGCGCACGGGUCCGUGACGGCGCUGGUGGUUGUGUCGUUUCUCUGCGGGCAGUGGCCCAUCUUCGAGGGCACCUUCGUUCAGAGCAUCAACCACUUCCUCACCUCCGGAGCCUACCGCCACUUUCUGCGGCUCGUGCAGGCGGCGUGCGGUACUGGAGCCAGGGAUCUCGUGCUCGGCGUCGAGCAGUACUGCUGCGACCGCCCUAACCCUAUCCUGCAGGUUUUGUAUGUUGCCAUAAUUGGCGGAACAUAUUUUAUAAUAGUGCAGUCAUCUUUCAAGUACAUUCCUGGGUAUUACGUGAGUGUAUUGCACAGGUACCUGAGCAUUGUGGUUGUUUCUAUUGGUGCUAUACUCUUUGUCCUCACUAGCUUUUCUGAUCCUGGGACUGUUACUUCUGAGAACGUGUCUCAGUAUGUAUCUGCCUAUCCUUUUGACAACAUUAUUUAUGUAGAGAAAGAAUGUUCAACAUGCAGGAUUACCAGACCAGCUAGGGCAAAGCACUGUAGAAUAUGCAAUAGAUGUGUGGCUCGAUUUGAUCAUCACUGUGGAUGGAUGAAUAAUUGCAUUGGGGAGAAGAAUACUCGCUAUUUUGUGGCCUUCUUAUUUUGGUGA
rnacentral:rRNA from 1 species